GCGGAUGUAGCUCAGUUGGUAGAGCGCAACCUUGCCAAGGUUGAGGUUGCGGGUUCGAGCCCCGUCAUCCGCU
rnacentral:tRNA from 1 species